GGGGGGGGGGGGGGGGGGGGGGGGGGGGGGGGGGGGGGAGGGGGGGGCGCGGGGGGGGGGGGGGGCGGGGGUGGCGGGCGGGUGGUUGGGGCGUGAGUGAGCUGCCGUUGCCCUUGGUGUCACUUCCGGUACCUGUGUCUCAUCCCUGGUGUGAGCUCCUGCUGCAUGGUGGGGGUUGGAAAGUUUCGGCGGUUGGGGUUGGACUCUCAGCGUAUCAGCUUGUUGGUGUGGUGGUGGCUUACCAAGGCUGUGACGGGUCGCCGGCCUGAGAGGGUGCCCGGCGACAUGGGGAUGAAGAUACGGCCCAGACUCCUACGUGAGGCAGCAGUGGGGAAUAUUGCACACUGGGCGGAAGCCUGAUGCAGCAACGCCGCGUGCGGGAGGACGGCCUUCGGGUUGUAAACCGAUUUCGCCUGUGACGAAGCGUGAGUGACGGUAAUGGGUAAAGAAGCACCGGCUAACUACGUG
rnacentral:rRNA from 1 species